GGUUGUAUAAGAAAGUCGCCAUGUCCUAGAAACAUCUCUUGAGGAAAGGAUUGUGUACAUAAAAAGUAACGAGUCUUUUAAAAAGAAAAUUGAACCAUAAAUUACUGGAGCGCCACUAACAUCGGCCUUUAACAUCGAACCUAGCUCCUCAGCAAUCAUUCAACAUAAAAGCUCACAGCACAUAAACAACCAGAAACGUUAGUUCCUGGUUAAAAAAAAAGAAGAAAGAA